UGGGCGCUCCCCCUUUGCCCCACACAGGACAACUCCUCCCCCCCUCCCCCCAAGACAGAUGACCAAAGGAAGGAGAGAAAGGGAAAAGAGGGUGGGGCCUCUCCUUGCGGACACAGAGGCCCGGCCGUAUGUCUGGGCAGGGAGGGGGCACUCGCCGGCCCUCUUGUGCCAGCCACGUCUCCCAGGGGCCGCGGGGCCGGCUUCUCCGUCCUGCUAAAAGCACCGGGACCACCCGGAGCUCAGGCACGUGGCACAGCAUCAGCCUGCACUGAGGCCAACUUGGACCCCGACUCCCAAAGCUUUUACCAAGGGCCCGGGGCCCCAGAGGAUCUGCUUGCACUGCCCUGCGGCCGUGAGGGGGCCUGGGCAGGGGGUCUGGUUGUGGCAGCGCCCUCUCGGCUCACUCUCUCCUCGAGAUGGAGUGGGGGAGACAGCGAGGGGGGGUCCCUGCGGCCUGGCUGCCCUUCAGCACACCCAUUCCACAGGUGCGGUCACAGGCUGCUACUCCCUGCCCAGGCCUAUUGCUGCCCCAGCUCCUGCAGGACAUGAGGUGGUCCUGGCCCAGUUCUUUCAGGAUAUGAGGUGGUCCUGCCCCAGGCCCUGCAGGACCCCGGCCGGCUUCCUCCGGCCCCUGCUGGUGGGUGAAGGACUGGAGGAAACCUGUGAGUUUUAACCUUGAAACACAGGAGAGCUGGCAAACUCCAGAUUUCCCCCAAGCUCCGGGGGCCAGCAGGCCUUGAGCUUGGAGGAGUGGGGUGGGGGUGGGGAGGGGGCUCAUCCCAGUUUGUGUGAAUAGCCCUGCAGCCCACGCUGGACUAAGAUUCCCAGGCUGCCUCAGUGUGGGCCCCGGGAGCUGUCCGGUGCUGAAUCUCCCCAGAAAAGACACCGGCCCCUGGCCUUAAGCCCCGCCAAGGCCCACUGGCCCCAUGCUCUGUCAGUCUUAGGCGAGUCCCAGGGAGGCGGCUCCGGGCCCAGGCCCACAGGCAGGGCAGGCGUGGAGCCCGGCGGCCCAGGACGUGGCAGCUCUCUCCUGGGAAGCUGUUCAUUUGUGGAGGUGCCGUUGUGGGCUCAGGGCCCCAGCAGACUCCAGGAGCUGCUGCAGGGCAGACAGUGCCCGGGCCGCUCACGUACGGAAGAUGUCGGCUCUGACCGCUACCGACCGCCAGAUAAACCCGGGCCGUCCUUGAUGGAAGACAGCUCUGGGCAAGGUCCUCCCGUCCCCUUGGGAGGCGUCCACAAGGUGGGUGUGGAGGCCCGUCCAUUUGUAGAAAGCUGUGGUCAUGGGCACAGGCCCCUAUCAUGCCCGGGGAGCUGGCCACAAGAUGGAGCUGUGGGCAUGGGCACAGGCCCCCAUCAUGCCCGGGGAGCUGGCACGGGGGGACACGGGUCCUGAAGGCCCAACCUUUCCUGGAAGGUGGCACUUUGAGGGCUUCAAAGUGCCAGUGCAGUGAUGUGAGGCAAGUCCUCCCCACCCGCGCCAGACUGGCAUUUAUUUGCCAGAAAGGCCUUCGGUUCCUUGCUCUUUGUGCAGCCCAGGCACCGCCAGCCCAGGAGAUGCUGCCUGGCAUUAGAGGGCAGGGGUAGGAUGGGACCAGGCGGGCACCAGGCGCCCAGAACACCGGACGUCUUAGGGGAGAUGGGCUCCCUGGACAGAAGUUUGGGGUCCGAAGGCUCAAGCUGGGAGCCAUGAAAACAGAGACGCUGGUCAGGGCUGGGGCCCGGGUGGGGCACGAGCUGGAGACCUCUCCGGUCUCCGGGCCCCCGCGGUCCUGCGGGCUCGUCCCCGUGGCUCUGACGGGAGCAUUUCUGGGUCCGGGCAAACGGCGGGAGCGGUGGUUGCUGGGAGCUCUCCCACCAAGGCCUGUUCCCGGGGGGGCGCUGGGGACGCGCCUCAGUCCCGUCCGGGUGGGGAGGGGGGGGGUCCUUUGUAAGGUUCUCCGCGUGGCCAGAACGCGCUCCCGGGACAGAGACCCCGAGUCACCCGGGGAGAGGAUGGGGCGGGGGCGCAGGCGCCGGGGCGGCCGCCGGGCCUCCUCUGCCGGCCAAUCAAGCGGACGACUCUCCGGACCUCAGGGCCGUGACCUCCGAGUCCUCCGCGGGGGCGAACUUGCCGUUGAGCUGCUCGUUGUGGGCAUCGGGGGAGUAGAGGUAAGCGGGGACCUCGGUGAGCGAGGUGGCGGUGUAGGAGGCCGAGCGGGUGGAGCAGCGAUCCCGGCGCCGCUGGCCCCACUGGGUCUUGUACUGGGCCCACUGCCGCUUCAGGGCGCCUUGCACCUGCAGAGGCGGGAGGGGGGGGGGGGUUAGUGCAGCCGGGAGCCC
ensembl:lncRNA